rnacentral:lncRNA from 1 species
AUUCCCAGGCUGAAAUUCCAACCAACUGACAUUACUAUCUUCCACCAGCAGAGGGAGCCACCCUGGCCCUGCAUCCCAGUGCUCUUCUGGCAUUCCAGAUAUUCUCAGUUUCCAUCGCACGCCACUUCCCUCAGCCUGUAGAACUUCCGGCAGCAACUGCAAUUAGGGGUAGUCCAGUGCUAAAUUGUCGCAGCCUUGAAAAUAUUCUGCUUCGUUAUUUCGGGCACUCCACAGAUUCUGUUGCGAAGGCAGCCAUCUUUAGUUCGUCUUUCCUAGAGAGUAGUGUGUGAGCUGCAAAGUUGCUUUACAUCUUUGCCAGCAGCUGAUAAGGGUGGGCCAUAAACCCAAUUUGUGUCCCUUGGGCUGGUGAUUCUGCUGGAAAUCCUGAUCAGCUGCUUAGCUUUUCAGCCGCAACUUUGUUCGUUGAGAAGAUUCUGCUCCAUUUUUUCUGAUUAUGGAUUCUGUUCAGAAGGAAGCCGAAUUUUAAGUCAUCGUUCUAGGAUAGAUUCAGCUCCAUUUUCUCUGGUGGUAGAUCUCCAUGGAUGCUAUUGAGAAGGUACUUCUCAAAGUCCACGAGGACAAGGACAUCUUUCCACCGAAUGCCACCUGGUUUAUAACAAAAGCAUGAAAAACAAACAGGAAUUUCUCAAUGCAGAAAGGACUGAAGCUGUCAAAGGUGUGCUUUUUUUCUGCACAAACAAGUUUCCAUUGAAUGAUAGAAUAAAGAGAUACUGACUUCCCCGGAGCCUCCAAACUUGAGUAGUCAGGGACAUUCUCACUCCAAAUUUUAUUCCAGGUGUACUUAUUGGAGCUGACCAGCCUUCACAUGCUGGGUUUGAGAAUGCCUGGACUCUGCCCGUCAAUUCUCUCCUUCUGGGGAAUAUGUUUGAAGCAGGCAUUGGGAUCCGUGGAAGGCUUGUUAAAUCCAAAUAGAUUGGUCCUACUCCAUCCGCAGAGUUGCUGACGAGGUGCGUCCAGGCCUUCUCCUCACCUCUCAGGGAGAUAUACCAUGCAGUGCCUUCAGUUAUGGUGUUGUGACUGAGGAUGCUUCGGUCAGACAUGUCCCUGAAAACCUGCAUAGAGUUUAAGAACACAGAUGAAAAAUCACCAAGUAAAAAAGGAGCAUAGGGAGGAAUCCAGGAGAAACCAGGCUCAAGCUUCCAGCCACCCUCUUCCAGUGGAGUCAAGUGCACUGCACUUAAUUCUCCCAGCCAGGUGUGCGGCCACCUGUGCCAAGUGUUCCCAACCAGCUGCACUUCAAGGGAAGUUAUUGAAUAUGUCCUAUCCAACUAAAACAAGGAAAUGAUGAAAAAAAUAAAAUCACUUUCCAGAGGCCUCAGGGCUAACUGGAGACAGAGCUCAGACUGCAACUGAGAAAAGUUGGACUCCAAAACCUGUACUCUGAGCUUUACUGCAUGAGAAAGUUAUUGAAAUGUGCCUUGUGACAUUCAGAAUAAGUGACUUUUCAGAGGUCUCAGAGUCAGUAAGAGACAGAACUCAGAUUGUAACCAAGAAGAGCUGAACUCCAAACUUCUGUGUCCGGAAUUGGUGGGUUCUUGGUCUCACUGACUUCAAGAAUGAAGCGGCAGACCCUCGCGG